GUCUUGCCAAGCAUCAGAUGACUAAGUUCAUCUGCUUAAUCCUACAUGGCCACGUCGGGCUGGCUCAGCACUGCUCCUAAGGUGCUGCCACCUUGCCCUGGUGUGGCCCAGUGUGGCCUUCAUCCCCUUCAUCCUAUAAUAAAUCUUGACUUCCCGAGUACUUAGUUUCAUGCCCCACACAGUGGAACAGGGAGCCAGGGACGACGGGUGUCCAUUUGAGAAGUACAGAUGUGUCCAAGGAGCAGUCCUAGGCCCCCUGCAGAGCAGAUGUCAGUGAUGGAUGAGGGAGCGAGGGGCUUAGAUGGCAGACCAGAGGAUUAGGUGUCUCUUGGGGUUCUGACUUGCUAUGGCAUUCUGUUGGAUUGCAGAGAGCAGAUGAAUUCCUGAGUUAUGACACAGAGGAGAAACCAGAGACACAGUUAUGCCCAAGACUCGAGAGUGCAGCAGCAGAUACAUGGGGCCAAGUCAGCCCAUAGGACCAAGAGGAGGACCUGGCCUUGGUGACACCUAUCAACCAACAGCAGGCUCACCAAAGAAACUAAAGGAAUAAGUCACACCACGAGAAAACACAAAUGGCACAGAGCACAGCUGUCAUUGUGGCUCCAGGAACCUGGGCUGAGCCAGGAUUGUGUAGGUGCUGAAAUGCAGAACAGCUAAUGGAUUAAAAUAAAAACUCCAUUUAUUUUCUGAGUAGUCAGAAGAAAGCGUCUACUUAAAGGUGUCAUGAGAAGCAUAAAGAAACGGAAAAGAAACGCUUAGAGUAACAGCACUGGAACAGCGGCAGGAGUGGAGACAGGAAUCUGAAGGCUCAAAGGCCAAGAGCUAUUUCAAGCUACACCAUUUUAGAGAAUUCCAGUAAUCGAAGGUAGUGAUCAAGCCACUGAGGGCGGGGAAGCCCAAGAAAUAGAAGAUGCCGAAGAGAACACCCAGGGGAAGGUCUCACACGUAGAUUGGGGCUCUGUCCGUCUGUGUUUCAAAGAGGCUAUCGACACUUCAAUGAAGGAGAAUCUUACAACGUGCGCCCCUGCAAAGGAAAACGAGCAGGACCUGCUCCAGCUGAACGCCCUCUGCAGACCGCCUCUCGGAAACCUGCCCCACGCCUGCCUUCUACGUGAACGUGGAUGUACUAUUCUCGGUGAUCCAGGGGACUCCAGGUACUGGCUUUGAAUCCAGGCAUCUUGGGAUGGUCCCUUCUAACCAACAUGCUGGCUGCUUGGUCAAUCCCUUUUAUUGUGGGACUUGAGCUGACUGCCUGUGGGGAUUUCUCCAGCAGGGCCCUGCCUUCCAGAC
rnacentral:lncRNA from 1 species